rnacentral:rRNA from 1 species
UACGGAGGGGACUAGCGUUGUUCGGAAUUACUGGGCGUAAAGCGCACGUAGGCGGAUUUGUUAGUCAGGGGUGAAAUCCCGAGGCUCAACCUCGGAACUGCCUUUGAUACUGCAAAUCUCGAGUCCGGAAGAGGUGAGUGGAAUUCCUAGUGUAGAGGUGAAAUGCGCAGAUAUCAGGAGGAACACCAAUGGCGAAGGCAGCUCGCUGGGACGGUACUGACGCUGAGACGCGAAAGCGUGGGGAGCAAACAGG